AUUGAACGCUGGCGGCAGGCCUAACACAUGCAAGUCGAGCGGAUGAAGGGAGCUUGCUCCCGGAUUCAGCGGCGGACGGGUGAGUAAUGCCUAGGAAUCUGCCUGGUAGUGGGGGAUAACGUCCGGAAACGGGCGCUAAUACCGCAUACGUCCUGAGGGAGAAAGUGGGGGAUCUUCGGACCUCACGCUAUCAGAUGAGCCUAGGUCGGAUUAGCUAGUUGGUGGGGUAAGGGCCUACCAAGGCGACGAUCCGUAACUGGUCUGAGAGGAUGAUCAGUCACACUGGAACUGAGACACGGUCCAGACUCCUACGGGAGGCAGCAGUGGGGAAUAUUGGACAAUGGGCGAAAGCCUGAUCCAGCCAUGCCGCGUGUGUGAAGAAGGUCUUCGGAUUGUAAAGCACUUUAAGUUGGGAGGAAGGGCAGUAAGUUAAUACCUUGCUGUUUUGACGUUACCAACAGAAUAAGCACCGGCUAACUUCGUG
rnacentral:rRNA from 1 species